rnacentral:rRNA from 1 species
UACGUAGGGUCCGAGCGUUGUCCGGAAUUAUUGGGCGUAAAGGGCUCGUAGGCGGUUUGUCGCGUCGGGAGUGAAAACCUACAGCUUAACUGUGGGCUUGCUUUCGAUACGGGCAGACUUGAGGCAUGCAGGGGAGAACGGAAUUCCUGGUGUAGCGGUGAAAUGCGCAGAUAUCAGGAGGAACACCAAUAGCGAAGGCAGCUCGCUGGGACGUUACUGACACUAAGGCGCGAAAGCGUGGGGAGCGAACAGG